AAACACCUACCUAAGUAUAUAGCAUGGUUUACAUGCUGGAAAAGACUAGACCAAGUUGGGGGAAUAGCCUCAAAAAGCCUUCCUUUUUGCGCAAAUAGUUAUUUUCUUGCUUCGUUAACCAUGUUAGCUCCAUCUGUUAAGUUUGUGCGAUCUUACAGUAAAUCCCCGGUUAUUUAGUCUGAUCAAUCAUCAUUCUUUAUGUUAAAUUCACAUCUUCAAAUGCAAUCAAU
rnacentral:lncRNA from 1 species